AGAGUUUGAUCAUGGCUCAGAUUGAACGCUGGCGGCAGGCUUAACACAUGCAAGUCGAACGGUAACAGGAAGAAAGCUUGCUUUCUUUGCUGACGAGUGGCGGACGGGUGAGUAAUGCUUGGGAAUCUGGCUUAUGGAGGGGGAUAACUACGGGAAACUGUAGCUAAUACCGCGUAGUAUCGGAAGAUGAAAGUGUGGGACCGCAAGGCCACAUGCCAUAAGAUGAGCCCAAGUGGGAUUAGGUAGUUGGUUAGGUAAAGGCUGACCAAGCCGACGAUCUCUAGCUGGUCUGAGAGGAUGACCAGCCACACUGGAACUGAGACACGGUCCAGACUCCUACGGGAGGCAGCAGUGGGGAAUAUUGCACAAUGGGGGGAACCCUGAUGCAGCCAUGCCACGUGAAUGAAGAAGGCCUUCGGGUUGUAAAGUUCUUUCGGUGAUGAGGAAGGUGUUUGUUUGAAUAGGACAAGCAAUUGACGUUAGUCACAGAAGAAGCACCGGCUAACUCCGUGCCAGCAGCCGCGGUAAUACGGAGGGUGCGAGCGUUAAUCGGAAUAACUGGGCGUAAAGGGCACGCAGGCGGUGACUUAAGUGAGAUGUGAAAGCCCCGGGCUUAACCUGGGAAUUGCAUUUCAUACUGGGUCGCUAGAGUACUUUAGGGAGGGGUAGAAUUCCACGUGUAGCGGUGAAAUGCGUAGAGAUGUGGAGGAAUACCGAAGGCGAAGGCAGCCCCUUGGGAAUGUACUGACGCUCAUGUGCGAAAGCGUGGGGAGCAAACAGGAUUAGAUACCCUGGUAGUCCACGCUGUAAACGCUGUCGAUUUGGGGAUUGGGCUUUGAGCUUGGUGCCCGUAGCUAACGUGAUAAA
rnacentral:rRNA from 1 species